rnacentral:rRNA from 1 species
UACAGAGGUCUCAAGCGUUGUUCGGAUUCAUUGGGCGUAAAGGGUGCGUAGGCGGCGCGGUAAGUCGGGUGUGAAAUCUUGGAGCUUAACUCCGAAACUGCAUUCGAUACUGCCGUGCUUGAGGACUGGAGAGGAGACUGGAAUUUACGGUGUAGCGGUGAAAUGCGUAGAGAUCGUAAGGAAGACCAGUGGCGAAGGCGGGUCUCUGGACAGUUCCUGACACUGAGGCACGAAGGCCAGGGAGCAAACGGG